CGAAAUGGUCGGUAAUGGUGCAUUUUGUAAAUCACGUUUGGGUUUGACGAAUUCAGAUAAAAGGAAAACGGAUUGCGAAUAUUCCAUAAAUAAAUUAAUAAAUUAAAUUCCAUUCUACACGAACGACACAUUUUGGUUGUAUAAAUGUAUAACGAAGAGAAGUAAAAC